CGGCUACAAUUUGAUUAAUCGAACUAAACUGCGACACGAUGGAUGCAUCCAUGCGGGCAGGAAGAGUCACACAACCCACAAGUGCAAGAACAGAAAGACAAAUCGAAUCGAAGAGCGAGUGCGGCACAGAAGUACUGAAGAUACACGUAUAGUACUCGUACUCGUCGCCAUGCCAAGCAUGGACAACAACUCAAACUUAACGAACUUAAAACAAAUUUAAGUAUGUAUAAUGUAUAAAUAUAUACAUGCAGCACAAAAAAUCAUCACAAAAUCAAGUUGACUUACAAAGUUAUAGAUGUGUCUAUAAAGUGAAACUUAAAUCGAGGUAUGCUUGGGAAUCAUUAAUGCGACAUUCAUUAAUAAUUAUUUUAUAAUUAAAGUAUCAUUAAAGUGUUGUUAACGUCUUAAAUGUGUUAUUAAUUAUUCGACACUUGUUUACGGCUGUAAAAAACGUGUUUUUAGUGUGUUUGCCUUAGCGUCUACAACUGAUUUUUAUAUUAUGUAGACGUAAAACAAAUUAAUUCGAAAAUACAUAUCUAAGUUAUAAAUUUUAUUUCAUCUACAGUUCUUUUUUAAUUAUUUAUUUCCAGCCGGAAAUACUUUAAUCGCUUUAAGAUGAGCAUCAAGAUAAUUUAUGAUUAUUAUUAUCUUCUGGAAUAUCUUGAUUAUUCAUGUUUUUAAUAAUGAUAAUAAAAGAUUUUAGUAAUAUAUAGAAA